CCCCGAAGGGACCCGUUGUGCACGGCCCCGGUGUCACCCGGACUGCGCCGACCUCGCCAGCCUUCCUGCCCCCGUGUCUGCAGAGGCUCCUUGCCCUCCCAGGACCCGUCCCAGGAGGAGCCGGCGUGUGCUCAGAUCAGGGUCCCGACUGUCGGGUGGAAAGGGUCUCUGAAUUUAAGUUCUGUAAAUCCAGCCCUGUACCCCGUCUCGUCACUUAACCUUUAGUCCCGAGGGCUUGCUCUUUCCCCCCCUCUCCCAAAUACAACUUCUAGAGUCUUCUGAGACCCGCACUGCAUUCGAUUCUAUCUUGGAGAGCAUUCUUAAGUUAGCGCCUUGAGGCAGUGCGGCUGGAGGUUCAGAGAGGAGGCUUGACACUUUUUCCUCCACCUGCACCAGUUUGAAAUGGAAAACAAAGAAAUUAACCAGAGAAAGUUACUUGAGAUUGAAAAGGAGCUGAAGACUUCAUGAACUAGAUACUUAAAAAGAUAGAAAGAAAGAAAAGAAACAUGACUUUGGGAGCCUGGCUACCUUGGUGACACAGAUGAUAAAAAUCCGUUCAAGAAUUUAUAUGUGACAUCUGCAGCAGGUUCAGAUCUCUCAGCUAUAAGACAAACUGGAUACUUCGUAAAGAUUUUCAUCUGUUAUGCACAGAGAGCCAAAAUCCGUUACUGAAAUUGUCUGGGUGAGCUGCCUGCUGGGUCCAGUGAUGCACUAGUAGACAAAGAAGUUGAAAAAGAAGGCUGACUGGAUGACUGGCAGAAUGUGACACCAAUAUGGCAUCAAGAAGCCCUACUAUGAGUCCAAGGACUUUGACUAUGACUAAAUAAAAAUGACUUCUUUUUUGGUGGGGUGGGGGUGAGGGUGGUUGAAGUAAAUUUGAUAUUUACUUGGGGAAUGUGUAAUGUAUUCUCAUUCCAUAGUGAUAUAUGGUAAUUGCCUUGGUAAUCAAUCUUUAAAGUUCAUAUAUAUAUAUAUUGAAGUUAUGUAGUUAUACUUUUUAUUAUUGGGUUCUCUUACCACAAAGUAAAUACUGUAAAGACAAACAUUUGCUUAACUUAAAAAUGUUAACCUAAAAAGAUUGAUUUAAGGACUAUGAUUUUCACAUAGAAAUUUUCACUUAGGGCAUUUUAUUUAUAAAAAGUUACUGUACCCCGAACUUUCUAGGAAAACAUCCUUUUCUGUAGUUUCUUGAAAGUCAGUAGGAAAUCAUACUGUACAGUAUUAAUAUAGAACAGUUAAUAAAUUAAUAACCAUUAAAAAUAACUAAUAACUUCAGAUCUAUUAACUAAAUUUACUUAAAAUAAUUUAAGGAGUGGGUGUGAACUGGAAAUAAACCUAUGUAUUUACUAAAAUUAUUGAAUCACAAGAAAACUAGAACAUCAAAGUAUUCUCUAAACCAAAUCAGUAUUUUAUUUGGUUAGAGUCCCUGCUUUUGGCAUCCAUCUAUUUAGAUCACUUAUAGAGGCUUUGAAAGCAGUUCUGGGAAAUGAGGUGGGUAGAUUUUCUCAAAGUUGAUUCCCAUUUAUUUCCUCAGUGAAUCUUGAACAUUUUUUUCUUCUUAGUAUUCAAGAAAAACUCUGUCAGUCCAGGAUAUAAAACAUGGGUUACAUUAUAUAUAGUUUACACAGUUUAUUUACAAACAGAAAAAGAUUCCCUCUUGACUUACCUUGAAAUCUUUAUUCAAGGCCUGUACCAUUCAAUUUGUCAGCGUGCUGCUGCCACUACAGCUCGCUUUUGGUCAGAAUGCAGUGAAGCUAACAUAGCCAUUCUGCUGGGAAAAGAGUUCCCGGUUGCUGAAGAGUGGAAGUUACACACAUCUCAUUUACAAGUCAGAUCAGAGAUCAGAAUCAUACAAUAGCUUUAUAUGGAAUUGAUUUCAUUUCAUGGUUUUUAAGCUAUGUUUUUCAUUGAAGCAAUGCCUAUAACUAAAAGACAGGUGUGUUGUAGCAUUUGAAUGCCUUAAAUUCUUUUGAAUCUGGAAUAAAGGGAUGUUUAGAUCCUAAAACUCAGGGAUUUUGAAAUGAAAUGCUCUGUCAUUCAUUGAUUGUGCCAUAAUUGAACUGCCCUGCAGAUUUUUAUUUGGGAUUAUUGUAAUUAAUAUUUGGAAAACUUUACCAUUUUCAAAUAUAAGUUAUUUUAGGAAAGACUGUGUGUGUGUUCGUGUGUGCGUGUUCUUAAAUGAAGCAGCAAACACCAUUUUACCUUGUAAAUAGGCUUUACUUAAUAAGAAAUAUAUGCAUUUAACAUUGAUAGGCAUUUAAACCAGGAAUUACGUUGUGGUUUUCUGGGGAGAGGACAUAAAAUAGAGCACUUUAUAGUUUGCCACUAUUAUUUUUUCUUAAAGUAAACCUUUUAAAAAAUAUUGCAUAAAGAAGAAUGCUUAAAUAUAACAAUUAGUUGCCAGUAUUCUUAUUUUUCUUGUUCUUACUGAAAUUGAGAAGAUAUAAAAAUGGAUAUGGAAAACGAGCUCCCUGCAGCAAGGAAGUGCUAUUUAUUGGAAUUUGAAAACAUAGUUGCAGGAAAGCAUCUGAGUUAAUCUUUUAGAUAAUUGAUUUGAGUGUAACCAGGAGAAGAAAAUCCAGGUGUUUCAAACAAGUUUUGUAUCAGUAGUCAAAACAUUUAGUUUUAUCCUUUCUCAUUCCGACCACGUGGUGAGGUUUCAUUAGUUGAUUUCUAGUAUGACAAAUCAUUAGGAUUUAGACAGUUCUUGACAAUUCAUCAGUUACACCUUUUUGUCCACUCUAUUUUACAUAGGACUUGUUUAGUUCUAUUUAUAGGACACGAGAAAGGUAGUGAUCCUGACUUUUAUGGACUUCAAAAAAGACUUUUGAAUAAAGAUUAAUGUAAAGUAAGGAUGUAGUAGGCAUACUGUGUUUAUUUUAGUAAAGCAGUGACAGUUUAGGUGGUUCCUUCCUUCACUGCUUUUCCCCCUAACUUCAUAACCACUGGUUGAAGCUGCUUUUUCUUACAGCGAGUGGGAAGUAAUUUUGUGAAUGGAGAAAGCGAGUCUAUUGUAGACAUUGGAAAAUGAGUGGAAUGUAAAAGGGAGAGUAGGAUUAUAAAUGGCAGUAUGAUCAUACAUGAGCACUCUUAUUUUGGAUUGAUAAGGGUGCUAGAGUGAGGAUAUCAGUGGAAUGCAGUGGUUUAUUAUUACCAAGUACUAUUUAUUGAAAGCAUCCUAUAUACUAGACAUUGAGUAAAACACCUUGCGUAAGUUACUUCUAACUCUUCCCACACCUUGAAAGCAGAUAAAAUUACCUCAAUUUCCUGAUGAAACUAGAAGCUAAGUGGUAUACCCAAGGUUUCAGAGGAAGAAGAUAGUCCCUACAGCUUGUGGCUGAUUUUUAUGCAGUGACCUUUACUCUCCAGUGAUUGAUAAAUGAAUAAAUAAAUAAAAAUGUGAAAGGCCAGUAUACAUUAUAGGAAAAUUUUUAAGAUGAUGGCUUUUAAUAUGAAUGACUUCAUGUUGGUGUUAUAGAAGGAUGUGGGCCUAUUGAUAUAUUUGCGAUUAUUAUAUCUAGACUCUAGAAUUCUUCCACUGUCGUUUGUGUUGCCUUUGAUAUUAAUAUAGUAUUUCACAGCUGUAUUUUCAAAUAUAAUUGAUGCCACCAUACAAAAGUCUUAUAGGAAGGGUCCGUGAUGAUGAGCUACUACAGCAACUUAUAUGCAGUAGAUCAAGAGCUGAAUUGGAUUCAGCUCCAAACAGCAUAUGUAGAAAAAGUUCUUGGAAGUAGUCUUCAAUAGCCAAAGGAGACUACCUAACAGUUUGAGGUACAGGAAUAAUAAUGGUGGAUAACGGUGUCAUAAAGCCCAUUAAAAUGAGAACUGAAUGUUUACAGGCUUUCACAAGCAGACAAAAGAUCAUCCCUUAGAAAGGAUACAUUCAGUCAUGUGGUUAGGAAUAGAGCCUUAGCAUUUUUAAAUGUAAAAGAUAAUUGUGUAAUAAGGCUUUGGAGUCAAAUGACCCAAUUAUGUUUUUUAAGAUUUAGAAUGAAAUCAUAAGGGAUCUUUGGCUUUAUCAUUCACUGGUCCCAUGGAGGAGUGAAGUUAAAAAAGAGGCAGCGCCCUAACAGGUUUGGUUCAGUGGAUAGGGCGUCAGCCUGAGGUCUGAAGGGUCCUCGGUUUGAUUCUGGUGGAGGGCAUGUAGGUUGGUUGCGGGCUCAGUCCCCAGUAGGGGGCGUGCAUGAGGCAGCUGAUCGAUGUUUCUCUCUCAUUGAUGUUUCUAACCAUCUCCCUUCCUCUCUGUAAAAAUCAAUAAAAUAUAUUUAAAAAAAAAGUCAGUGUGGUAAAGUAGCCUAAAUGUGAGCAGCAUCUUAGUGAGGAAUGUUGGAACAAAGACAGGAACACAAUAACUGAAAUUGUUCAAUUCAAAAUGUUAGAAAAAAAUGUUAAUUGCUUGAAAUUGAAAAUAUAGAAAAAAAAUAGCAAAUAGGUUAUAGGCAAACAAGGCAGUUGGACAAAGGGUAAGAAGUAAGGAGCGUUUAUUCAAGAGUGAAGUAGUUGUGUGAUAUUCCUAGAUAGAAUUUUUACUCAAAAAAGGAGAAAACUUGGGACGAGAGAUCAGGAAAAGUGAUUUAGAAAUCGGUGUCACUGAAAUAGGGUAGUAUGCUCCUCAAAGACUGCUAGUAGGCAGAGAAAAUAUUGACAUGAAGUUGUUGUCUUCAUAUUUUAUGGUAGUCAAAAGUAACCACCUAUUUUAGAAAAGACAGGCUGGUUAUUCCUGUCCAUUCUGUGAACUGAUUAUUUCUGUUCAUUUUAUUUUACUAUAGGCUAAAAUUAGCCUUGUAUCCUUGUGACAUUGGGUAAACACUUUUAGACUUGGGCUUGUGUUUUAGAAUAUGAUUUAGCUUAUUUUAAGUUUAUUAUGAUUGUUACCAAUAUAUAUUCAGCUUUUGGCAAGAGAUUACACUUUGUGUUAACUGGGUAUCCAUAAUAUCCAUAAAGAAGAUAUCAAAUGAAUUU